GUGUCAGCAGCCGCGGUAAUACAGAGGGUGCGAGCGUUGUUCGGAAUCAUUGGGCGUAAAGCGCUUGUAGGCGGCCUGUCAAGUCGCGUGUGAAAUCCCCUGGCUUAACCAGGGAAGUGCGCGCGAAACUGGCGGGCUUGAGUGCCGGAGAGGGUCGCGGAAUUCCCGGUGUAGAGGUGAAAUUCGUAGAUAUCGGGAGGAACACCAGUGGCGAAGGCGGCGACCUGGACGGACACUGACGCUGAGACGCGAAAGCGUGGGGAGCAAACAGGAUUAGAUACCCGUGUAGUCC
rnacentral:rRNA from 1 species